rnacentral:siRNA from 1 species
GUACAUGUGCAUGUGCAUGCAUGC